rnacentral:rRNA from 1 species
UACGUAGGGUGCGAGCGUUGUCCGGAAUUAUUGGGCGUAAAGAGCUCGUAGGCGGUGUGUCGCGUCGGCCGUGAAAACUUGCAGCUUAACUGUGGGCGUGCGGUCGAUACGGGCAUCACUGGAGUUCGGCAGGGGAGACUGGAAUUCCUGGUGUAGCGGUGAAAUGCGCAGAUAUCAGGAGGAACACCGGUGGCGAAGGCGGAUCUCUGGGCCUUACCUGACGCUCAGGUGCGAAAGCUAGGGGAGCGAACAGG